rnacentral:piRNA from 1 species
UCAAUCAAAGCUCUGUGCUUAUUCUAGA